GACGAACGCUGGCGGCGUGCCUAAUACAUGCAAGUCGAGCGAAGUUUUUCUGGUGCUUGCACCGGAAAAACUUAGCGGCGAACGGGUGAGUAACACGUAAAGAACCUGCCUCAUAGACUGGGACAACUAUUGGAAACGAUAGCUAAUACCGGAUAAUAGCAUUAACUGCAUGGUUGAUGUUUAAAAGUUGGUUUUGCUAACACUAUGAGAUGGCUUUGCGGUGCAUUAGCUAGUUGGUGGGGUAAAGGCCUACCAAGGCGACGAUGCAUAGCCGACCUGAGAGGGUGAUCGGCCACACUGGGACUGAGACACGGCCCAGACUCCUACGGGAGGCAGCAGUAGGGAAUCUUCCGCAAUGGGCGAAAGCCUGACGGAGCAACGCCGCGUGAGUGAAGAAGGAUUUCGGUUCGUAAAGCUCUGUUGUUAGGGAAGAAUGAUUGUGUAGUAACUAUACACAGUAGAGACGGUACCUAACCAGAAAGCCACGGCUAACUACGUGC
rnacentral:rRNA from 1 species